rnacentral:lncRNA from 1 species
AUAUAAAGAGAAAGAGAGAGAGUUGGGUUAUAUAUAAUACUAUCGAUAGCUCGCUGAGCUUUGUUGCUAUCGAUUUAUUUUUGAUAAUACAGCUUUCAAAUCAAUGAUCGACACUUUUUUAUUAUAAUUUAGACCAUUUGAAAUAUUUAGAAAUCAAAUUUCAUAUUAUUUUCAACAUUUUUCUCUUGUGCAUCAAGUGAAUACAAAAAUAGACAGCUAAAAGUUACUAUCUUUUAAAAUUAACGAUAGAAUUUUUGUAUUCAAGAUCAAGAGUGUGGAUCUUGUUUUAAAUAGUUUUAAAAAAAUUUAAUAAAAAAUUAGCUGAUUUGAAUUUUUUUUACACUGCUGAUAAAAUGAACGAACGCGCUAUAUCCAUCAAUUUUGCAACUCUUAUUAGAUCAAUGGUGUAGAAAAUGUAUAAAAUUUAAUUUAUAGAUUUUUUAAAUGGUCUAGAUUAUAUUCAAUAAUAUCGAUCAUCAAUUUGAAAGCUCUAUUAUUAAAAAUUAAUCGGUAGCAACGAAAUCUGUUUGCUACAAUAGCAUUCUAACUUUUAUAUAU